CUACUACAUGCUUCUCCUGGACCCAUUCUACACCGCCAGGGCAAGCACGUACUCGCCUUAAAGUCUUCCUUCUGAACCUUGUUCCUUUACGUUUCUUUACACGUCAUUCCAACCUGUUACCGACUUUUGUGAUACAACCAGAACAUUUAAUGUCUCAUCUCUAUCUUGUCUUGCCCUUUGACUCUGUAUUUUUCACCAUUUUCUGAGCUAUAAACUUUACUUUGACUCUUCACAGCAAUUCUGCUUUUCUCCAAGUCCUACUGCAUUGGAUCACCUCUUCUAAAUGCUUUUAUUCUUUCAGUUUAGGGGUACGACCUGUCUGAUCCUGGCAUAACUCCCAGAGAUGGUACUUCCACCUUGCCCAGAGCAAGAGCUCCAUGGAGAAUGGCCAUAAAGAGUCACUCUGAAGCAGAUGAAAUCUCAGCAUGAGAGAGAGAUGAGUGUUCUAGUUGAAGUGAGGGCCAUGUUCCAGGAGACACAUCAGCUCUGCCCUUUCAGCUUCCACUAUACCUUUUCCAGGAGAACUUGGAUCAUUUCCACAUCAAGAAAUGCAGUUUGGAAACCCACUGGACCAGGAAAGCAAAGACACAGUCAUGAUGCAAAUACCCCAAGAGAUGUAAAAUGUCAACAAAAGGCACAAUAUAAGAAGGGAAUGAAUAAAGGCAGAGUCUGGACCCUAGUUCCCACUCUACUACUCUUUCUUUUUAGGAAACAUUUGCUGAUGCCUGGUCCCGGAGCUGCAUUUCUCAAGCUUUAAUAUCCAUGUAAAUUAUCUGGAGAUCUCUUUAAAAUACAUAUUCUCAUUUAGUAGGUCUGGGGUUGGGCCUGGGGGUCUGCAUUCCUUUUUUUCUUUUAAGAUUUUAUUUAUUUAUUCAUGAGAGACACAGAGGGAGGCAGAGAGAUAGGCAGAGGGAGAAGCAGACUCCCUGAGAGGAGCCCGAUGCAGGACUCGAUCCCAGGACCCCAGAUCUCCACCUGAACCAAAGGCAGAGGCUCAGCCACUGAGCGACCCAGGUGUCCUGGGGGUCUGCAUUCUUAACAAGCUACUAGAUGAUGCUGAUGCUACUUACCCAGGGACCACAUGCUGAGUAGCAAGGGUCUGGCUAAUUCAGAUUUUACUGGUAUAUGGUAGACCCGGGCUUUUCUUAUGUUUACAGAGCUUACAGGUGAUGAUAACAUGAUGAUACUGUGCAGCCAGGGCCUAGAGCCAUUGUUCUUGGGAUCAUAUGUACAUAAUUUGUCCAAUUGGCUGACACCUUAGAAAACAGAAUCAAAUCUCUGGAAAAGUGAUUCAGGACAGGUGAGUUCUUGUGGCAAUGAAGACAAUGGCAGAUAACAGGAAGAAGUUUGGCUGUUAAUAGCCUGUGCAUGAAAUACCCCUGUUUAGUUUCUGAAU
rnacentral:lncRNA from 1 species